UAGGGAAUCUUCCACAAUGGACGAAAGUCUGAUGGAGCAACGCCGCGUGAGCGAAGAAGGUUUUCGGAUCGUAAAGCUCUGUUGUUGGUGAAGAAGGAUAGAGGCAGUAACUGGUCUUUAUUUGACGGUAAUCAACCAGAAAGUCACGGCUAACUACGUGCCAGCAGCCGCGGUAAUACGUAGGUGGCAAGCGUUGUCCGGAUUUAUUGGGCGUAAAGCGAGCGCAGGCGGAAUGAUAAGUCUGAUGUGAAAGCCCACGGCUCAACCGUGGAACUGCAUCGGAAACUGUCAUUCUUGAGUGCAGAAGAGGAGAGUGGAACUCCAUGUGUAGCGGUGGAAUGCGUAGAUAUAUGGAAGAACACCAGUGGCGAAGGCGGCUCUCUGGUCUGCAACUGACGCUGAGGCUCGAAAGCAUGGGUAGCGAACAGGAUUAGAUACCCUGGUAGUCCAUGCCGUAAACGAUGAGCGCUAGGUGUUGGGGACUUUCCGGUCCUCAGUGCCGCAGCAAACGCAUUAAGCGCUCCGCCUGGGGAGUACGACCGCAAGGUUGAA
rnacentral:rRNA from 1 species